GUGCUUAAUCUCUAUUUAAUUAAUAUAUAAGUUGAGACAAUAUACAAAAAAAAAUGCAAUGUACAUACUUUAAUAGUACACGAUACAAUAGAAAUUGAGAUAAAUAUAUCAUGAAUAUACAAUAGAAAUUGUGUCUAUCCUAGUUGCACUCAGGCUUUAGCUAAUCUUCCACAAACUCUAGAGUUUCCUUGUAGUUGGAGAACUGGUACAAUAUCAAGCUCGUGUUGAGCUUUUCUGCUUGUAUAUGGCACAUUAUGUGCACUAAUUACUUGGUAUUGGAUAUAAAGUCCUGACCUAUUUAAUCUCAUGCUUCAUGUGUUACCUAAAAUUNNNNNNNNNNNNNNNNNNNNNNNNNNNNNNNNNNNNNNNNNNNNNNNNNNNNNNUUGCUCACCUAAAAUCACUCUUUAAGGUCGCAGUCCCGUUGUCGAGAUGAACUAAAUAAUAAAUUUCAAGCUUGAUAUUGAAAGCUACUCCCAUAUUUCCCUUCAGCGUGUAUACACUUUAACCAAUAGAUCUUGAAAGACAUCAACAACUGUUGAACCUCGCAAUACAACAUUGUGAAAUCAAAGAGUACACACAUUAAAUUAUGGAGACUUUAAGUAACUAAAAAAUCUAAUAUGCCUCUUUGGAAUAUUGGCAGGAUCUUCCUUUAUAACCUUCGCCUAUGAAAUAAUCAUCUAUUUUGUACCCCCCCAUUGCAUUGCAUUACACUGUCCACUAUACCAUAUUUAAAAAAAUAGAAUUUAAAAUAUUUGAUCGGAUACAUCAAAUAUGGAAGUCUCCACUUUGAAUUUGGUGCCUCUGGCAGCUUGAACUUGAAGGUGUGCCAUGUGUUACCUGCAAUGAUGUGUCCAUUUACAAACAUAGUUAGCCACAACUCUCAACCUCACCAUUGAAAGUUAAAAUGUUUAUUAAAGUUAAAAGUUAAAAUGUUUAAUCAAGAAACAUACAUACAUGCUUAUUAUAGUUGCAGCCACAUGAUUAUGUGGUUAAAAAUUAUGCAGGCUGGAUCUUGGAGUUAUAACAGAACUGAAAAGUGGUUCCAAGUGCUCUUUAAUUUGUAAAAACAUUUUCAAAGUUAAUUCAAGAAUAUUACUUUCAUCAAAGAGAAUGAAACAAUGGUAACACUUUCUCAGCCCUGUCAUAAACAAUCCAGUUUAGAAUACAAUCUAAAAGGCUCAUUGACAUUAUGUAAGUGCUCACAUCCAAAUCCAUCAAAUUUCAUUCAAGCACUUUCCACAUUUUCAUUUACUGUUGCCCAAUUUAUGAUCUUUUUUUUCAUAUCAGAAAACUGAUAAUUGAAUGCCCAAUAAUUUCAAGAAACUAAAAAUUAGGUAAAUAAUCUUUUUACUUGAUAAUAGAUUAGGGAAAUCUCCGAAUAAUGUAGAGAAGUUCAAAAAACCAUUCCAGGAUCAACAAAAAUGAACUUAGAAAAGAGGACUCGCCCAUUUAAGAACCACCAAAAUCAUUACCAAAUCCUCAUUUACAAAUUAAGACAUCGGCAACUGCAACAUACAGAGCAACAUAGCAUCAAUGAGAUUGGUAGCAGAAUCAAAUCAAACAAAUAAAGAACCAUAGAAAGCUUAAUAAUCACUAUAUAAGCACUUUGGCUUUUAUGUUCCAACACUAUUUACUUGAUUGCUUGCAAAGUGAAGUCUUUCUUUUAAGUGAGGCCUUAAAUAUUCAAAGUGAAAAAAUCAUUCAUAAAUUUAUAAGAAAGCGAAAGUUAUAGAAAUAUUCAUAAACUAAAAAAUAAUAUAAGAAUUAGUUUUUGCAUCAAUCAACAUUUCAUAUAAUAUAUAUGCAUAAAUUGUGAUCCAAUGAAUCACCAAUAAAAAUCACAAUGCAACUUCGUAAAAGUAAUCAACAGUUACAACAUAACUACAUGUCUUUUCUCAAUGCAUAUUUAUCUCAUGAAUGACCAUUAACUUAAACAGAAUAAAAAAUCACAACUUUGAUUUAUAGUUAAAUAGUUAAAUUCAUAUGAAUGAAAGAUCUAUAUAAUUGAUGUACGAUAAGAAACUAAUAGAAGUUGGAAUCAGCAUGUUUCUUUCAAUGUGGUCAUGUUAUAAGUAGGUAAUUACCUUGAUUAAAAACUAUACCAUAAACAGAUUAGUGGAAAGUACACACACUUCUUUGAUAUAACUUUUUUAAGCUUGUGUAUUAAAAUAAUGAACAAAGUGAAAGCAUUAGACACUUCCAUCUGCACAUGAAUUAGAAGCAUUUCAGAGGCAAAGGUUUCAAAAUAAAUAAGGAACCAUAAAUAUAUUAUAAGCAUAAGUCUAUAACCUUACUUUUGAGAAGCAUGCAAUUCCUCAAAAUUAGGACCUCGAGCAAAUUUCUACCAAUGCAGCUGCCAAGUUUCCUGAGAGAAGAAUUCAACUAACAAAUUUAGGACCAGUAUAAGAAAGAAACACACUACUAUAAGAACUCAGCAGACCACCUCUAAAAGAAGCUUCAUGUAAAUAACAAAUCAAAAUAAGAAAAACAUAUAGUAGUUAUCAAACUCUAAUUCUAAAACAAAAAAGUAAAGCCAAAGAAAUACAAAAUUAGGGAUUAGAAAUACAAAUGAAAUAAAAUAGAUGGCUAUUAAAAAUUAGGUAUUUUGAAAAAGAAAGAGUAUACCCAGAAUCAAACAAUAACAUUGUCGUCGUUGGGCCGUGUGCUCUGCUUCAUCGAUCUUUGUCGUCGUUGGGUUUGUGAACCUGAACAAACAAUAACAUUCCCAAAAAAAAAAUUAAAAAUCAGAAUAUGAAAUUAAAUCAUGAAAUAAGGAAGGGAUUGAGAAGCAAGUUAAAACCUUUCUUAUUGACAAAGCUGAAGAAGCAUAUACCCAAAAUUUGAGGAAAAAAGUUGACAACAUAGAAAACCAUAUCAAAAACACGACAAAGAUAAACGUUGUUUUUGAAAAAUUUUGGAGGGGUUUUUGAAAUUUGAAAGCAUGAUGCAUUAGUCAAAGUUUGCAGAGAACACUUAGUUUUUCACCAAAAUGGAAGUUUUUGUUGAAGAUGGAGAGAAAGAAGACAUCAACAAAGCAGAAAGGGAAGAGAAAGAUUCUUUCCUUUUUCUUUUUUUAAAUUUUUUUUCUUUCUUUUUUCUGUUAUAUUGAAUUUUAAAAUUUGCAAA
rnacentral:lncRNA from 1 species